CCUACGGGAGGCAGCAGUGGGGGAUAUUGCACAAUGGGGGAAACCCUGAUGCAGCGAUGCCGCGUGAAUGAAGACGGCCUUCGGGUUGUAAAGUUCUGUCGCAGGGGACGAAAAUGACGGUACCCUGCAAGAAAGCUCCGGCUAACUACGUGCCAGCAGCCGCGGUAAUACGUAGGGAGCAAGCGUUGUCCGGAAUUACUGGGUGUAAAGAGCGCGUAGGCGGGAUAGCAAGUCAGAUGUGAAAUCCUAUGGCUUAACCAUAGAACUGCAUUUGAAACUGCAUCCCUUGAGUGCGCGAGAAGUAUGCGGAAUGCGUGGUGUAGCGGUGAAAUGCAUAGAUAUCACGCAGAACUCCGAUUGCGAAGGCAGCAUACCGGCGCGCAACUGACGCUCAUGCACGAAAGCGUGGGUAUCGAACAGGAUUAGAUACCCCUGUAGUC
rnacentral:rRNA from 1 species